GGUCUCGUGGCCGAGCGGCUAGGCAGUGGUCUGCAAAACCAUCCACAGCGGUUCGAAUCCGCUCGAGACCU
rnacentral:tRNA from 1 species